AGCAGCCGCGGUAAUUCCAGCUCCAAUAGCGUAUAUUAAAGUUGUUGCAGUUAAAAAGCUCGUAGUUGAAUUUCGGGAUUGACACAUCGGUCGUGCCCUAAGGGGUAUGAACUGGUGUAGUCAAUUUCUCACCUUCUGGAGAACCGCGAUGCCCUUAAUUGGGUGUCGCGGGGAACCAGGACCUUUACUUUGAAAAAUUAGAGUGUUUAAAGCAGGCAUUUUGCUUGAAUACAUUAGCAUGGAAUAAUAAAAUAGGACGGCAUGAUUCUAUUUUGUUGGUUUCUAGGAUCACCGUAAUGAUUAAUAGGGAUAGUUGGGGGCAUUAGUAUUCAAUUGUCAGAGGUGAAAUUCUUGGAUUUAUUGAAGACUAACUACUGCGAAAGCAUUUGCCAAGGAUGUUUUCAUUAAUCAAGAACGAAAGUUAGGGGAUCGAAGACGAUCAGAUACCGU
rnacentral:rRNA from 1 species